rnacentral:rRNA from 1 species
AGCAGUAGCCACGGUAAUACGGAGGGAGCUAGCGUUGUUCGGAAUUACUGGGCGUAAAGCGCGCGUAGGCGGUUACUUAAGUCAGAGGUGAAAGCCCGGGGCUCAACCCCGGAACUGCCUUUGAAACUAGGUGACUAGAAUCUUGGAGAGGUCAGUGGAAUUCCGAGUGUAGAGGUGAAAUUCGUAGAUAUUCGGAAGAACACCAGUGGCGAAGGCGACUGACUGGACAAGUAUUGACGCUGAGGUGCGAAAGCGUGGGGAGCAAACAGGAUUAGAUACCCCCGUAGUCCCUGUCUCUUAUAC